rnacentral:rRNA from 1 species
GAUGAACGCUGGCGGCGUGCCUAAUACAUGCAAGUCGAGCGAACGGACGAGAAGCUUGCUUCUCUGAUGUUAGCGGCGGACGGGUGAGUAACACGUGGAUAACCUACCUAUAAGACUGGGAUAACUUCGGGAAACCGGAGCUAAUACCGGAUAAUAUUUUGAACCGCAUGGUUCAAAAGUGAAAGACGGUCUUGCUGUCACUUAUAGAUGGAUCCGCGCUGCAUUAGCUAGUUGGUAAGGUAACGGCUUACCAAGGCAACGAUGCAUAGCCGACCUGAGAGGGCGAUCGGCCACACUGGAACUGAGACACGGUCCAGACUCCUACGGGAGGCAGCAGUAGGGAAUCUUCCGCAAUGGGCGAAAGCCUGACGGAGCAACGCCGCGUGAGUGAUGAAGGUCUUCGGAUCGUAAAACUCUGUUAUUAGGGAAGAACAUAUGUGUAAGUAACUGUGCACAUCUUGACGGUACCUAAUCAGAAAGCCACGGCUAACUACGUGCCAGCAGCCGCGGUAAUACGUAGGUGGCAAGCGUUAUCCGGAAUUAUUGGGCGUAAAGCGCGCGUAGGCGGUUUUUUAAGUCUGAUGUGAAAGCCCACGGCUCAACCGUGGAGGGUCAUUGGAAACUGGAUAACUUGAGUGCAGAAGAGGAAAGUGGAAUUCCAUGUGUAGCGGUGAAAUGCGCAGAGAUAUGGAGGAACACCAGUGGCGAAGGCGACUUUCUGGUCUGUAACUGACGCUGAUGUGCGAAAGCGUGGGGAUCAAACAGGAUUAGAUACCCUGGUAGUCCACGCCGUAAACGAUGAGUGCUAAGUGUUAGGGGGUUUCCGCCCCUUAGUGCUGCAGCUAACGCAUUAAGCACUCCGCCUGGGGAGUACGACCGCAAGGUUGAAACUCAAAGGAAUUGACGGGGACCCGCACAAGCGGUGGAGCAUGUGGUUUAAUUCGAAGCAACGCGAAGAACCUUACCAAAUCUUGACAUCCUUUGACAACUCUAGAGAUAGAGCUUUCCCCUUCGGGGGACAAAGUGACAGGUGGUGCAUGGUUGUCGUCAGCUCGUGUCGUGAGAUGUUGGGUUAAGUCCCGCAACGAGCGCAACCCUUAAGCUUAGUUGCCAUCAUUAAGUUGGGCACUCUAAGUUGACUGCCGGUGACAAACCGGAGGAAGGUGGGGAUGACGUCAAAUCAUCAUGCCCCUUAUGAUUUGGGCUACACACGUGCUACAAUGGACAAUACAAAGGGCAGCGAAACCGCGAGGUCAAGCAAAUCCCAUAAAGUUGUUCUCAGUUCGGAUUGUAGUCUGCAACUCGACUACAUGAAGCUGGAAUCGCUAGUAAUCGUAGAUCAGCAUGCUACGGUGAAUACGUUCCCGGGUCU